rnacentral:tRNA from 1 species
GCUGGGAUAGCUCAGUUGGUAGAGCCCGAGACUCUUUAAUCUUGGGGUUGUGGGUUCGAGCCCCACAUUGGGCA